UUGGGAUUUGGUCUCUGUCAGUGGUGAAGGUCAAGCAUCUCUCCAAGUUACUGUACCUGACACUAUUACAGAAUGGAAUGCCAAUAUCUUCUGUGUUGCUGAUAGUGGCUUUGGGCUUUCUCAUUUAGCUACACUUAGAGUCUUCCAGCCUUUCUUUGUAGACCUUUCUCUGCCAUACUCUGUGAUCCAAGGAGAGAUUUUCAGCCUGAAAGCCAUCGUCUUCAACUACCUCAAGGACUGUAUCCAAGUGCACACCACCCUCAUAGAGACUCCAGAACUAAAGGUGGAUGCCUGU